GACGAACGCUGGCGGCGUGCUUAACACAUGCAAGUCGAACGGAAAGGCCCUGCUUUUGUGGGGUGCUCGAGUGGCGAACGGGUGAGUAACACGUGUGUAACCUGCCCUUGACUUUGGGAUAACUUCAGGAAACUGGGGCUAAUACCGGAUAGGAGCUCCUGCUGCAUGGUGGGGGUUGGAAAGUUUCGGCGGUUGGGGAUGGACUCGCGGCUUAUCAGCUUGUUGGUGGGGUAGUGGCUUACCAAGGCUUUGACGGGUAGCCGGCCUGAGAGGGUGACCGGCCACAUUGGGACUGAGAUACGGCCCAGUCUCCUACGGGAGGCAGCAGUGGGGAAUAUUGCACAAUGGGCGGAAGCCUGAUGCAGCAACGCCGCGUGCGGGAUGACGGCCUUCGGGUUGUAAACCGCUUUCGCCUGUGACGAAGCGUGAGUGACGGUAAUGGGUAAAGAAGCACCGGCUAACUACGUG
rnacentral:rRNA from 1 species